GAAGGUGUACUGUGAGGUAUGCUGGAGGUAUCAGAAGUGCGAAUGCUGACAUAAGUAACGAUAAAGCGGGUGAAAAGCCCGCUCGCCGGAAGACCAAGGGUUCCUGUCCAACGUUAAUCGGGGCAGGGUGAGUCGACCCCUAAGGCGAGGCCGAAAGGCGUAGUCGAUGGGAAACAGGUUAAUAUUCCUGUACUUGGUGUUACUGCGAAGGGGGGACGGAGAAGGCUAUGUUGGCCGGGCGACGGUUGUCCCGGUUUAAGCGUGUAGGCUGGUUUUCCAGGCAAAUCCGGAAAAUCAAGGCUGAGGCGUGAUGACGAGGCACUACGGUGCUGAAGCAACAAAUGCCCUGCUUCCAGGAA
rnacentral:rRNA from 1 species